rnacentral:rRNA from 1 species
CCUACGGGUGGCAGCAGUGAGGAAUAUUGGUCAAUGGGCUAAGGCCUGAACCAGCCAAGUCGCGUGAGGGAAGACGGUCCUAUGGAUUGUAAACCUCUUUUGUCGGGGAGCAACGAGGCCACGUGUGGCCGCAGUGAGAGUACCCGAAGAAAAAGCAUCGGCUAACUCCGUGCCAGCAGCCGCGGUAAUACGGAGGAUGCGAGCGUUAUCCGGAUUUAUUGGGUUUAAAGGGUGCGUAGGCGGAACAUUAAGUCAGCGGUAAAAUCGAGGGGCUCAACCCCUGUACGCCGUUGAAACUGGUGGGCUUGAGUGGGCGAGAAGUAGGCGGAAUGCGUGGUGUAGCGGUGAAAUGCAUAGAUAUCACGCAGAACUCCGAUUGCGAAGGCAGCAUACCGGCGCGCGACUGACGCUGAGGCACGAAAGCGUGGGGAUCGAACAGGAUUAGAUACCCCUGUAGUC